CUUGCUUUGCCAAGACUCUGCCCAAAGACCUUGGAGCUUUUGUUGGCUCUUCGGCAAAAGCGCCUGGUCUAACCCCAAGUAAAUGUGAGCUUCUGGUGGAAUCCACAUGGCCUGUGGAAGAAGCCACAGGCUGGAAAGUUACAACUGUGACUGGCCAAAUGAAAUUGUUUACUGGUCAGAUGUCACCGGGCUUCCGAACCCUCCCACACAGCCUGGUGGCGGCAGAGAGGAAGGUGAGAGGUCUAAGGGUUUUAUCAGUUGAGCUACAACCCAGGGCUAAGUCAAGCUGUGGGGUGGUUAAUAGUCGGGCUGGGGGGGACAGAGCGCCAGGGGAUGAGGCCAGUCCCUGUUUGAAUCAGGUAAGGAUCCUGAUGGUGUCCUUAGGUCCCAUGAUAUAAGGUUAAAUAGAGCAGUUCUCUCCCUGUCUGUCUUAUCUGGAAUGCCUGUUAGGGUUCAGGAAAACAGGUAAAUUGCAUGAACGUUGAGCUCUUACGGGAAGUAAUUGACCUCACUGCCCGGAAGCUACAGUGCUUGGCACGCUGGCAUGUGCUUCUCUAAUCCUUUGUGUUCUCGUUAUCCUGAGCAACAUUCUACAAACCUUGUGUACAGUUCCUUGGGGCCAGUUUAUUUCCUUCAGAGGGAUCCUGGAAAGAAAUGAGGAACCCGGAAAGCAAGCUAUAGCCAUGGAGACGGUGGUAAUCCGUCCGGGCCAAGCCACACGCAGGAGGAGCCGCACUAAUUGAUACUCCCGGCAGCACAGGCUUCUUGUUUUAGAUCCCACCGCCGAUUACAAGACCUCGGAAUGCCUUAUCCUUCUCAGAUGCCUGGGCUCUGCCCUGCUAUUUGUUAGGGGACUGGUCUGUUUGUUGAAAUGGAUCCUGUGUUUAUCCGGACCUGCCAUCCUGCCCGCGUGUGCCUCCCGGGUUGGGGCUGGAGCAGGGAGCGGACAGGAGAGGGACAGCUGCGCGCCCAGCUCCGGAGAGCCCUCCCGGGCGCGCAGGACCCCGACAUCGAGGAGUCCGGGUGUCGGCUUAGGGCCGGGGCCGGGGCCGCGGGCGGCUGCGAGGAUGCCCGCGAGCUUCAGAUUCAGUUUCUUCCACAAGGGCCUUUUGUCCCCCGGGAGCCUCUCUGCCCUGCGGAGCGCAGGGGGAGACAACUUUGUCGCUCGGUACAUAGAGUGACGCCGCCAGUGCCCUCGGACGCCCGCGGCCAAGCAGCCCAGCCCACCUGACCGACCCCGACCUCCCGCGCCCCUCCCGCGCCCGCCCUCGGCCAGCCGCCCCUCCCCCGAGGCGUGGCCCCUCGCUGGGCAGCGGGGAGGGUAGCGGGAGUCGGUGGGGCCAACCGGCUCCUUCCUCCUUCCCUCCCGCUCAGGCUCCCGCGGGCCAGCCGGGGACCGCAGCCACGUCUCAAAGCCGCUCAUUGUGUGCGCCCCGGGCGGGCAGCGCAGCGGAACUCCAGGCGCCUACCAAAUCUCUGGACUCCCGAGCGCGCCUCUGAGAGGCCCCUCCCCGGUGUCGCCGGGUGGCCGCUUGGGACCCAAAGGAACGGUUCAGCCCCUGCCGACUCAAGAAGAGGAACUGGGCGUGGGGUGGAACGUGGAGCAGGACGCUCGGCUGAGCCCCGCCGCGCCGGGUCCCGCGGAGACGCCAAGGUCCGGGACUCGGUGGACCCUCCAGGCAUCCCCCAUGGGUUUGUGACCAGCGUCGCUCGCCCAGCAGCACUGGACAGUGGCCCCCGGCCGGCGGCAUGUGGCUGCCGCGCGUCUCCAGCACGGCCGUCACGGCUCUGCUGCUGGCGCAGACCUUCCUCCUGCUCUUCCUGGUCUCGCGACCCCCGGGGCCGCGGCCGGCGGCAGGGGGCGAGGAGCGCGUGCACGUGCUAGUGCUGUCCUCGUGGCGCUCGGGCUCGUCCUUCGUGGGCCAGCUCUUCAGCCAGCACCCCGACGUCUUCUACCUGAUGGAGCCCGCGUGGCACGUGUGGGCCGCCCUGUCGCAGGGCAGCGCGCCGGCGCUGCACAUGGCCGUGCGCGACCUGGUGCGCUCCGUCUUCCUGUGCGACAUGGACGUGUUUGACGCCUACCUGCCCUGGCGCCGCAACCUGUCGGACCUCUUCCAGUGGGCGGUGAGCCGCGCGCUGUGCUCGCCGCCCGCCUGCAGCGCUUUCCCGCGCGGCGCCAUCAGCAGCGAGGCGGUGUGCAAGCCGCUGUGCGCGCGGCGGCCCUUCAGUCUGGCGCAGGAGGCCUGCCGCUCCUACAGCCACGUGGUGCUCAAGGAGGUGCGCUUCUUCAACCUGCAGGUACUCUACCCGCUGCUCAGCGACCCCGCGCUCAACCUGCACAUCGUGCACCUGGUGCGCGACCCGCGCGCCGUGCUGCGCUCCCGGGAGCAGACGGCCAAGGCGCUGGCCCGGGACAACGGCAUCGUGCUGGGCACCAAUGGCACGUGGGUGGAGGCCGACCCGGGCCUGCGCGUGGUGCGCGAGGUGUGCCGCAGCCACGUGCGCAUCGCCGAGGCCGCCACGCGCAAGCCGCCGCCCUUCCUGCGCGGCCGCUACCGCCUGGUGCGCUUCGAGGACCUGGCGCGGGAGCCGCUGGCGGAGAUCCGCGCGCUCUACGCCUUCACCGGCUUGAGGCUCACGCCGCAGCUCGAGGCCUGGAUCCACAACAUCACGCACGGGUCGGGCCCCGGCGCGCGCCGCGAGGCCUUCAAGACCACGUCCAGGGACGCGCUCAACGUCUCGCAGGCCUGGCGCCACGCACUUCCCUUCGCCAAGAUCCGCCGCGUGCAGGAGCUGUGCGCCGGCGCCCUGCAGCUGCUGGGCUACCGGCCCGUGUUCUCCGAGGAGGAGCAGCGAGACCUCACCCUGGACCUGGUGCUGCCGCGCGGCCCGCACAGCUUCAGCUGGGCGUCGUCCACCGCGGCACGCCCGGGGCCGUAGUGGAAGGGCUGGGAGGCCAGGGUCAGAGGGAGAGGAGGUCGGAACGCAGGGAAGCAGCCCGCUGGCAGGGGCCAGGACGGAGCACAGGGGUCUCUCCUGUAGUAGGAGUCCCCACACGCCAACUUUCUCCCGCCGGUGUUUGGCGUGGCUUUCAGACUGUGUCGGAGCUGGGGGGCCGGCAGGUGAGCUCCUCACGGAAAGCGAACGGGAGAGUAUAUCGGCACCUGCUCAGUCGCCUCAUUUCCCGUAGACUCCACCCUGGGAAGGGGGGGGUCCAGCCCUGGUGGGGAGCUGAGGGGCGCUGUGGAGUGCUGGCUUCUGAAGUUUGUAGGUCACACCUGUACACACCCUGGACUCUGUCCCCCUGGCACCACACUCCAUCAAGGCCGUGUCCUCAGCGAGACACCAGACACGAUGCUUAGUGGCUGGUGGUCUCCCAUCGGCCUCUCUCUGCCUCCCCUCCUAGGAUCCCACUCACUCUCAUCAUCCUGCCCGGGGAAAGUGAACGUUCGAGUUGUCCUGACUGGAAAGAGCCUAACUCUAAAAAUAAAAGACUUCGAGUUUCAGCUUUGUAGAGGAUAGAUGUUCCAGCCUCCACUGACAUAACUACCUAAUAUUUAAAUCAACCAAUACCAUACCUAGAAAGACAAGUAAGUCUCAUGAAUAACACAUAUUUUAAGACAAAAAAGUAAUGUGUUUCUUAACUCCCAGAACAUAAUAUAUCAGUAGAAUUUUAAAAACGAAAUUAAAAGAAACAGGUAGGGACCAGCGCUGUGGCGUAGCGGGUAAAGCCGCCGCCUUCAGUGCUGGCAUCCCAUAUGGGCGCCAGUUUGAGUUCCAGCUGCUCCACUUCGGAUCUAGCUCUCUGCUAUGGCCUGGGAAAGCAGUGGAAGAUGACCCAAGUCCUUGGGCCCCUGCUCCCACAUGAGACAUGGAAGAAACUCCUGGCUUCAGAUCGGCACAGCUCUGGCCGUUGCACUGGGGAGUGAACCAGUGGAUGGAAGACCGACCUCUCUCUCUCUCUCUCUCUCUCUCUGCCUCUUGCUGGCUCUCUGUAGCUCUGCCUUUAAAAUAAAUAAAUAAAUCUUUUAAAAAAACAAACAAAAAAGCAACAACUAAAAAUCAUUUUAGCCAUAAUAUUCUGCUUACCUCUAUACUAUGAUUUUAACAUGUAAUCAAUAUAAAAAUUAAUGAUACAUCUUAGUCUUCAAAAUCCAGUGAGCGUGCCACACUGACAGCAGGUCUCCAUUCAGACCAGCCUUAUUUCUGGCACUCAGUGGCCACAAGUGGCUGGUGACUGUAUUGGACAGUGCAGGGUUGACACUCCAUUCUUGUUCCUUUCUUAAAACAUUUUUAUUUGUUUAUUUAAGAGGCAGAGAGACAGAGACACACAUACAGAGUUCCCAUCCUCUGAUGACUCCCCAAAUGCCCACGAUGGACCCUAGCUGAGCCCCAAGCCAGGAGCCAGAAACUCAAUCUGGGUCUUUCAUGUGGGUGGCAGGAGCCGGGUUAUUGAGUCAUCACCUGCAGCACCCCAGAGUCUGCACUAGCAGCUCCAGGAAGCUGGGGUUAGGAACUAGAGCCUGGAGUCGCAUCCGACACUCUGGUGUGGGACGUACAUAACUUAACUGCUGGGCCAAAUGCUCGCCCCCUGUCAUUGCAUUUUUAAACCCUCCUUGCCUUAGGAUAUUUCUAUAUCCAAAUCUCACUAGAGUGGACUACUGGAGAGGAGCACUCCACUUCAUGUCUCCACACUUUGGAAGCACAAAGAACCCACAGAAGUUUGCCUGUGCGAUUGCUUCUAUGCCUUCAAAUUCCGAGCCACUCUCAGCCUUUAGCCUAUGUGAGAAGAAAGUCAGACAUAGAGACUUCCCAUCACAUAGCCCAGAGCACGUGCUGCGUGGGCAGAACUUGUCUUCUCUCUCGGUUACCGACAUUCAGAUAACAUUGACCACUUCUCCGCGUCUGUUUCUUGUGCAUGGAUCCAUGAGAAUCUUGCCACAGCUCAGGGAAGAAUUGUUCCUCCCGAUUUAAGAGAUCAGUUGCGAGUUUCCAUGUGUCAGCCCAGUGCCAGGCCCCAGGGACACAAUCGGGGACAUGGCUGCUGUGGGAGCCCCUACAUCAAUCAUCCCACAGAUAAGCAUGCACUUGAUAAGUGUUGAUUGUGCCUUCAGGAAACAGGGGUGAUGGCGGAGGGCAACGCACUGUAGAAUGGGGAGGCAAGCAAGCUCUCUCUGCAGGGAAACCAUGGUUUGAACAAAUGACGAUGAACGGGAGUUAAUCAAGCGCAGGACAAAGAGGCAGAGGCAGAGAACAGCAAGAACGGGGUCUUGACGCAGGAAGCCUGCACUCUCCUUUAGAACAGAAAGGCUUCUUGGCAAAGCAAGAGACUUGAUCCUGGGAGUCCAGGCUCAUGUGUUAGAAAAAGACCCAAGGAGGUGGCCCAGUUGUGUCUGUAAAAUUCCUAAAAGUAGAAUUGCUGGGCUGAAGAGUCUCCAUGUUCCAGAUAGGAAUCUGCCAAAGCACUCUCAAAGCAAGAGAACUCUCUGGGACAGGGUCAGGAAUGCUGUUCACCCGCUCUUGCCAAAUGCUCCCCCAGCCAACACCACCUGCACGUGGCUAAAUCGAUGGCUUUCAUUUUUACUUAGCUUAUGAGUGAAGAGUGGUAUUUUCCUGUUCCUAAAUUUGCAUUUAUUCAAUUCCUAUGGCAGUUGGGCAUCUUUUCAUGUUUAUUAAUCACCUGCAUUCCUUUCUCUUUAUUCAAGGACGUUGGCCAUUUUUCUGUUCAAUUACUGAUCCCUUUUUUGAUUAUGCUUUACUAUUUUAGUUUCUCUAAUCUCAUUUGUUUUUGAACCCACUGUAGGGUGUUUUCUCUGUAAAACUUCUUUUUUAAAAAAAUUGUAUUUAUUGAAAUGUAACUGAUAGAUGAUAUCCACAUAUAUUUAGUGUGUAGAAUUUAAUUCAUUUGGGUAUAUGCAUACACCUGUAAAAUCGGGUCACACAAUCAUCCCCAAAGGUUUUGCCCUAAUUAUUAUAGCAUUAAAUGUGAAUUAUUUCCUUCUGGC